AUUCCAAUGGGCAGAUUGUGAUGACUCAAACUCCAGAAUCCCUGGCAGUGUCUCCUGGAGACACAGUCACUAUCCGCUGCAAAGCCAGUUCAAGCCUCACCAGUGGUAGCUAUCACUACUUAGCCUGGUACCAACAAAAAUCAGGACAAGCUCCGAAGCUCCUUAUCUAUCUUGCUUCUACCCUGCAAUCCGGGGUCCCAGCGCGGUUCAGCGGCAGCGGAUCUGGCACUGAUUACACCCUCACAAUCAGUAAGGUUGAAGCUGAAGAUGCUGGAGAUUAUUAUUGUCAGCAGUCUCGCAGCUCACCUCUCACAGUGAUACAGACCAAUACAAAAACCUCCAUCCUGUUCCUUUCAGG